rnacentral:rRNA from 1 species
GAUGAACGCUGGCGGCGUGCCUAAUACAUGCCAGUCGAGCGAACGGACGAGAAGCUUGCUUCUCUGAUGUUAGCGGCGGACGGGUGAGUAACACGUGGAUAACCUACCUAUAAGACUGGGAUAACUUCGGGAAACCGUAGCUAAUCCCGGAUAAUAUUUUGAACCGCAUGGUUCAAAAGUGAAAGACGGUCUUGCUGUCACUUAUAGAUGGAUCCGCGCUGCAUUAGCUAGUUGGUAAGGUAACGGCUUACCAAGGCAACGAUGCAUAGCCGACCUGAGAGGGUGAUCGGCCACACUGGAACUGAGACACGGUCCAGACUCCUACGGGAGGCAGCAGUAGGGAAUCUUCCGCAAUGGGCGAAAGCCUGACGGAGCAACGCCGCGUGAGUGAUGAAGGUCUUCGGAUCGUAAAACUCUGUUAUUAGGGAAGAACAUAUGUGUAAGUAACUGUGCACAUCUUGACGGUACCUAAUCAGAAAGCCACGGCUAACUACGUG